CCUACGGGAGGCAGCAGUGAGGAAUAUUGGUCAAUGGACGAGAGUCUGAACCAGCCAAGUAGCGUGAAGGAUGACUGCCCUAUGGGUUGUAAACUUCUUUUAUAAAGGGAUAAGACGAGGCACGUGUGCCUUCUUGCAUGUACUUUAUGCAUAAGGAUCGGCUAACUCCGUGCCAGCAGCCGCGGUAAUACGGAGGAUCCGAGCGUUAUCCGGAUUGAUUGGGUUUAAAGGGAGCGUAGGCGGUGUUGCAAGUCAGAAGUGAAAGCCCGCGGCGCAACUGGGGGACUGCUUUUGAAACUGGAUGGCUAGAGUGCAGGAGAGGUAAGUAGAAUUCCAGGUGUAGCGGUGAAAUGCGUAGAUAUUAGGAGGAACACCAGUGGCGAAGGCGGCUUACUGGACUAUAAAUGACGCUGAGGCUCGAAAGCGUGGGGAGCAAACAGGAUUAGAUACCCGUGUAGUC
rnacentral:rRNA from 1 species